GAUGAACGCUGGCGGCGUGCCUAAUACAUGCAAGUCGAGCGAACGGACGAGAAGCUUGCUUCUCUGAUGUUAGCGGCGGACGGGUGAGUAACACGUGGAUAACCUACCUAUAAGACUGGGAUAACUUCGGGAAACCGGAGCUAAUACCGGAUAAUAUUAUGAACCGCAUGGUUCAAAAGUGAAAGACGGUCUUGCUGUCACUUAUAGAUGGAUCCGCGCUGCAUUAGCUAGUUGGUAAGGUAACGGCUUACCAAGGCAACGAUGCAUAGCCGACCUGAGAGGGUGAUCGGCCACACUGGAACUGAGACACGGUCCAGACUCCUACGGGAGGCAGCAGUAGGGAAUCUUCCGCAAUGGGCGAAAGCCUGACGGAGCAACGACGCGUGAGUGAUGAAGGUCUUCGGAUCGUAAAACUCUGUUAUUAGGGAAGAACAUAUGUGUAAGUAACUGUGCACAUCUUGACGGUACCUAAUCAGAAAGCCACGGCUAACUACGUG
rnacentral:rRNA from 1 species